GUCCUUCAAGAAAGCUCCACCCGCUGCAUUUUCUUCUGGGUUUUGCAUCCAGAUUGAGAUUUCCUCCCUCAACCACAGGGAGGGAACCCGCCUUCUUUUGGCUCCAGGGGCACAGGUGCGGAGGAUGCAGUGCCUGGUUUGCGGUGUCCUGCAGCAGAUGUGGAAUUUUUUCCUUCUUUAUGUUUCCCUGACAGUGAGAGGCUCUGCAGGAAAAGGCGUUGAGCAGCCCACUGAGUUGAUGGCUAUAGAAGGAGCCUCUACCCAGGUCAACUGCACCUACCAGACAUCUGGUUUCAAUGGACUGUUCUGGUACCAGCAACACGAUGGUGGAGCACCUGUGUUUCUCUCUUACAAUGUUCUGGAUGGUUGGGAGACGAGAGGUCAUUUUUCUUCAUUCCUUAGACGCUCUGAUGCACAGGGUUACCUCCUUCUGAAGGAACUCCACAUGAAAGACUUUGCCUCUUACCUCUGUGCUGUGAUAGACACGGUGACUGUGAGGGCUUUCCAGCUGCUCCAAAACUCAGGCAACCACACCAGUACAACAAACCUCGAAUAGCCAAAGCAAUCUUGAGAAAGAAGAAUGGAAUCAACCUGCCUGACUUCAGGCUCUACUACAAAGCCACAGUCAUCAAGACAGUAUGGUACAAAGACAGAAAAUUAGA